rnacentral:tRNA from 1 species
GUAGAGCAGAGGACUGAAAAU